AGAGUUUGAUCCUGGCUCAGGACGAACGCUGGCGGCACGCUUAACACAUGCAAGUCGAACGAGAGAAGAGGAGCUUGCUUUUCUGAUCUAGUGGCGGACGGGUGAGUAACACGUGAGCAAUCUGCCUUUCAGAGGGGGAUACCGAUUGGAAACGAUCGUUAAUACCGCAUAACAUAAUUGAACCGCAUGAUUUGAUUAUCAAAGAUUUAUCGCUGAAAGAUGAGCUCGCGUCUGAUUAGCUAGUUGGUAAGGUAACGGCUUACCAAGGCGACGAUCAGUAGCCGGACUGAGAGGUUGAUCGGCCACAUUGGGACUGAGACACGGCCCAGACUCCUACGGGAGGCAGCAGUGGGGAAUAUUGCACAAUGGAGGAAACUCUGAUGCAGCGAUGCCGCGUGAGGGAAGAAGGUUUUAGGAUUGUAAACCUCUGUCUUCAGGGACGAAAAAAGACGGUACCUGAGGAGGAAGCUCCGGCUAACUACGUGCCAGCAGCCGCGGUAAUACGUAGGGAGCGAGCGUUGUCCGGAAUUACUGGGUGUAAAGGGAGCGUAGGCGGGAUCGCAAGUCAGAUGUGAAAACUAUGGGCUUAACCCAUAAACUGCAUUUGAAACUGUGGUUCUUGAGUGAAGUAGAGGUAAGCGGAAUUCCUAGUGUAGCGGUGAAAUGCGUAGAUAUUAGGAGGAACAUCAGUGGCGAAGGCGGCUUACUGGGCUUUAACUGACGCUGAGGCUCGAAAGCGUGGGGAGCAAACAGGAUUAGAUACCCUGGUAGUCCACGCCGUAAACGAUGAUUACUAGGUGUGGGGGGACUGACCCCUUCCGUGCCGCAGCAAACGCAAUAAGUAAUCCACCUGGGGAGUACGACCGCAAGGUUGAAACUCAAAGGAAUUGACGGGGGCCCGCACAAGCAGUGGAGUAUGUGGAUUAAUUCGAAGCAACGCGAAGAACCUUACCAGGUCUUGACAUCGUAUGCAUAGCUCAGAGAUGAGUGAAAUCUCUUCGGAGACAUAUAGACAGGUGGUGCAUGGUUGUCGUCAGCUCGUGUCGUGAGAUGUUGGGUUAAGUCCCGCAACGAGCGCAACCCUUACUAUUAGUUGCUACGCAAGAGCACUCUAGCAGGACUGCCGUUGACAAAACGGAGGAAGGUGGGGAUGACGUCAAAUCAUCAUGCCCCUUAUGACCCGGGCCUCACACGUACUACAAUGGCUGUCAACAGAGGGAAGCAAAGCCGCGAGGUGGAGCGAACCCCUAAAAGCAGUCUUAGUUCGGAUUGUAGGCUGCAACCCGCCUACAUGAAGUCGGAAUUGCUAGUAAUCGCAGAUCAGCAUGCUGCGGUGAAUACGUUCCCGGGCCUUGUACACACCGCCCGUCACGCCAUGGGAGUCGGUAACACCCGAAGCCUGUAGUCUAACCGCAAGGAGGACGCAGUCGAAGGUGGGAUUGAUGACUGGGGUGAAGUCGUAACAAGGUA
rnacentral:rRNA from 1 species